rnacentral:rRNA from 1 species
UUAGGAAUCUUCGGCAAUGGGGGAAACCCUGACCGAGCGACACUGCUUGGAGGAUGAAGGUUUUCGGAUCGUAAACUCCUGAACGAGGGACGAAUAAUGACGGUACCUCGCUAAUAGCACCGGCUAACUCCGUGCCAGCAGCCGCGGUAAUACGGAGGGUGCAAGCGUUAUCCGGAAUCACUGGGCGUAAAGGGCGCGUAGGCGGUUUGUUAAGUCCGAUGUUAAAGACCGAGGCUCAACCUCGACACGGCGUUGGAUACUGGCAAGCUGGACGGUUGGAGAGGAAGGUAGAAUUACCAGUGUAGCGGUGGAAUGCGUAGAUACUGGUAGGAAUACCCAUUGCGAAGGCAGCCUUCUGGACAACACGUGACGCUGAGGCGCGAAAGUGUGGGGAGCAAACCGGAUUAGAUACCCGGGUAGUCCACACCCUAAACGAUGCAUACUUGGUGUCGGCCCGUUGGGGUCGGUGCCGGAGUUAACGCGUUAAGUAUGCCGCC